rnacentral:lncRNA from 1 species
AAAAAUUCAAGGCUGGGCCCAAAUAUAUUUUCGGCCCAGUACAACACCAAGCGGAAAAUUCUUAUUUAAGCAACAUACCACGCUACAAGCUUAAGUGGGCCCAAGCCACGCCAAUGCUUAGGGCUUGCUAAGCGGGUUGUGGUACGAAUGGUUACAAGCAUUCAUCAGGCCCAUUGAUGGUCCAAUGAGUGGAAGUUUUGGGCUACUUGGGAGCACCAAAACUCAAACCCAUUCCUUAAGCCCAAACAUAUGAGUAAGCAUGAGAGAAAACCUAGUAGCCCAUCACCUUAAGAAAACCUAAUAGCCCAUAAAAUCCCACAUCAGCCAAAGCUUCUAGUAGCCUGACGAAAUCAAAGAGAACUCACAAGCGCUGGAAACAAAACAGCCCAACCCAGCACCUUAUAAAAUAUCCAACGUUGUACAUCUCUAUUAAAACCAGAUCACAGCCAAACCACCAAAACCAAGCAAACCCAUGUGCUGAUCACCUUUUUGACCAAGCACCCUUACCCAUUCUUUCCUCUUCAAGCUUUGGUGAGAAAACAAUAAACAAAUGUGGGUGGCUCCUCACCCACAUGGAGAAGUCUAGCUACCUGAGGACCUUGGAACUCCAAAAAGCUUCAUGCCUACAUGCUCAGGCUAAGGAAGUUUCAUCAAAUAAGAUGGAAUGGAAGAAGGUGAAGGAAAAAGGGAGAGGGUGGCUUGAUAAAAUUGGGUCUUCCAAGCGCCUAUAAAAGGAGCCACUUUCUACCUAGCAAACGGACAACAAACUGAUUGAAGGCAAGCAUCCCUUUUGGAAUCCUUCAAUUUCAUGCUUUGUUCCUCCAUCUUCUUCCUCUCUCUCUCUUUCUCUUAAAACCCAUAUCCAGAUAGAGCAAGCAUCACCUCUCAUCCCUGGAACACUUCGAUUUCAAGCCUUACUUCUCCACCUCUUCCCAUGUUCUCUUCUGUCGAGCAACCCAGGAGCCUAACGAAGCUUUUCGUCAAGCUGCUGGAAAUAUGCUAAAGUCACCCAUGCUUCUAUCUUCUUCCUCUCUUUCCAAUCGAAGGCAAGCAACCAUAUCCAGAGAGAGCAAGCAUCACCUCUCAUCUCUGGAACCCUUUGAUUUCAAGCCUUGUUCUUCGAUUGCUUCCCAUUUUCUCCUCUAGUAAGCCAUUCUAGAGCUUGACAGAGCCUUUGUCAAGUUGUUGGAAAAUUACCCAAAGCACCUGUUCAUCCACCAUAAUCUAUGUCUCUCUCUCUCCUCAGCAAAUCCUCACGAAAUCAUUACUUCAAGCCUCUGUUCCUCAUAGGAAACCCAAGCCUUCUCUCUCUCAUGCUAAACUCACGAAUGCUCAGGUCCCAUGCCACAAGCUUCUCAUGUCAAGCAAAGAAUUUAUCUGUAAGCGACUGUUGGUUUCAUUGGUGAAGAAGACCAAGGUGUUUCCUCAGACUCGGCUACCCUUUCGAAACACUCUUGGGGCUUGAUCCUUGAACUCAGACUCAAGGGGCAAUUUCACACAUUUAUUUCUCUUUUCGGCAGCCCAAGCCUAUUCGUCAGGUUGCUGGAAUAAAAAGACCCCUACAUAAAUUGGCGACUCUGCUGGGAAUUAGGCCGCUGUCUUCACCAAUACCUCCAAUCAGAAGCAAUAAACCAGAGAAAAUAAAGAGAUAAGAACAUUCCUUCUUUUUUUUUUUUUUUUUUUCCUUUUGUUGGCUAUCUGCAUUGUGGAACAAACAUGAUAUAGAUUACUCACAUGCUCCCUUUGUUUGUGUCUUAGAUCUCCAUUCUCAAGCAAAACCAGAUCUUGUACGAGGACUAGGGGCCUAGGCAAAUUCAUCAUUCAUGCCAUUGAGCUAACUACACAUGAAAACUCCAAAUAACUUGGGGGCUUCAUGCCAAGCAAAUCUGUAAAUAAAAAAAAUAAAAAUAAAAAAGAGUCAAGCAUAGGCACUUCAGAGUUCUCAUGCUAAACCAAGCUAUACCUCAGUUCCAAGAGCUGUGUGAACAUUAUUCACAUCCUCAUAGCAAGUCCAAGCUACAUCAUUCCAAGCUAAGUUACAUUCUUCCAGCUCCUACUCUACAAGCAAAGAAUUUCUGUCACUUGCCUUAUUUCAAAUCUUCUUAGCCCCUUCCUCAUUUCAAACAUCAUGCCACUGUAUAUGCUCCUCAACCCCCAAAAGCUCAAUUUAUCCUUGCAACAAUUCAACAAACUCAUCUGUCAAGCAUUUGACAAAUUCACAGGGCGUAAUACCAA